AGUUUGUUGUCAGUUUUCGUGUGUCGCGUGGGGCUCCUCAGUAGAAUCAGCUUUAUGAUAGAAAUCUGAAUUCCUGGUAAGGGAUAUAAAUGGAAGAGACUGCGCAACAAGACCUCUUCUUUCUUGAGCUCAGACAGAAGCUGCAAAGCGGCCUUUUGUUUAUUCGCAGUGACGUUGUCAGGGAUGACGCCGAUGUGAAGAUCGAGUCCAAACAAGAGUCCAUCCUGAGCGUCCAGACCCCUGACCGGAGCUAUCGGGUGAAGCUGACCCCCGGCGUGAGUCUGGUGGAGACGUCCUGUCAGAAGAGCCCGGGAGACGCUCCGCACGGAGCACACUUCAGACUGCGGCUAAAGGUGGAGCGGCACACAGAAGCUCCCUGCAGUGUGAUUGGACAGCUUCGGGUCAAUGUGAAGUACUCCUUCCUGUGCCAGUCCUGUGGAUCCAUGGUGCUUCAAGACAGGUCUUUUGGCCGUGUUCUUCCUUUGCCCAAUGGAAACUGGAAUUCAUUAGUGGACGACUGGUGCUGCCACCCCGACCCCUUCGCGAACAGGACCCUGCUCCCGCGAGACGGAGACUGUCUGCUCGGAGACACGUUUCUUCUGUUGGCUCGGGACAGCGGCUGCGAGCAGACCCUCGUACGGGAAGAGAAGCCGCCUCGGAAAGCAAGCCCCGCGGAGCGGCGCGUGACGGUGUCCUGCAGGAGCUGCUCUGCGGCGCUGGCCGAGGAAGUCGCUGCAGGGGCGCUGAAGUUUUACAUAACUGAAAUAUCAGUAAAGCCACGUGAAGACGGGGAGUGUGAUAUAACACGGCUCAGUUUGGUGUCCGAGCCUAGGCAGAGAUUUCUGGAGCGAACUCUAGCGGCCCGGCUGGUUGAACUCUCUUCGGCACAGAGUAUAUUCCGCUUUUCCAUCCAAACCCCGGACGACCGAGCUGUGCUUUUGCUGUGGCUCCUGAACACGGACGCUCUGGUCGCCUCAUUUCCUGACGCCGCGGCGAGGGGCGACAGCUUCAUAUCCGCAGAGGAGCUUCAUCCCGGAGAGCAUCAGUCAUGCCGGGCCGCUCAAGCAGUCAAAGUGCUGUACAUCCUCUGCUCUGACAGCAAACUCAAAGACGUUGUGGAUGCCUGGGAGAAGGACAUUAGCGUUCAUCCCCUGCCGCUCCCCCAGAGCUCAUGCGAGGAGCUCCAGAAGCUUCUGAUGUCCAGCACCUCCAGACUUCCUACAUUCCUGCGCUGCAUGAACUCAUAUCAGCUGUUGCAGGCAUUGAACUUUCUCCAUCAAGUGGAAAACUAUCACUCCUCUUGCCAAUUUCUGUAGUGCUCCGAUGAUAAAAUGGCAGACGAGCAUCGUCAUGAACACGUGCCUCUGGGAAUGCUGGGACAGUUCAUUGUUCAUUGUUGUGCUGAGAGCAAGCAGACACAUGCAAACAACUGACCCAUAGAGAUAAUAAAAGGUGGCCUACUUGCGGAUGUGAAGCAGUGAAGUCAGACACCAUUGGAGCAGCUUAGCAUCACAAUGCAGCGACACAUGAACUCAGAUAUUAAAUGCAAAAACAUUAAACAUUUUUAUAUAAAACCCUUA